rnacentral:rRNA from 1 species
GUGGGCAACCCUGACGCAGCAACGCCGCGUGAGUGAUGAAGGCCUUCGGGUCGUAAAGCUCUGUCAGAGGGAAAGAAAUGUGGGGGGGCUAAUAUCCCUACCACUUGACGGUACCCUCAAAG